rnacentral:rRNA from 1 species
AGGCUUAACACAUGCAAGUCGAGGGGCAGCACAGGUAGCAAUACCGGGUGGCGACCGGCGCACGGGUGAGUAACGCGUAUGCAACUUGCCUAUCAGAGGGGGAUAACCCGGCGAAAGUCGGACUAAUACCGCAUGAAGCAGGGAUCCCGCAUGGGAAUAUUUGCUAAAGAUUCAUCGCUGAUAGAUAGGCAUGCGUUCCAUUAGGCAGUUGGCGGGGUAACGGCCCACCAAACCGACGAUGGAUAGGGGUUCUGAGAGGAAGGUCCCCCACAUUGGUACUGAGACACGGACCAAACUCCUACGGGAGGCAGCAGUGAGGAAUAUUGGUCAAUGGCCGAGAGGCUGAACCAGCCAAGUCGCGUGAGGGAUGAAGGUUCUAUGGAUCGUAAACCUCUUUUAUAAGGGAAUAAAGUGCGGGACGUGUCCCGUUUUGUAUGUACCUUAUGAAUAAGGAUCGGCUAACUCCGUGCCAGCAGCCGCGGUAAUACGGAGGAUCCGAGCGUUAUCCGGAUUUAUUGGGUUUAAAGGGUGCGUAGGCGGCCUUUUAAGUCAGCGGUGAAAGUCUGUGGCUCAACCAUAGAAUUGCCGUUGAAACUGGGGGGCUUGAGUAUGUUUGAGGCAGGCGGAAUGCGUGGUGUAGCGGUGAAAUGCAUAGAUAUCACGCAGAACCCCGAUUGCGAAGGCAGCCUGCCAAGCCAUUACUGACGCUGAUGCACGAAAGCGUGGGGAUCAAACAGGAUUAGAUACCCUGGUAGUCCACGCAGUAAACGAAUGAUCACUAGCUGUUUGCGAUACACUGUAAGCGGCACAGCGAAAGCGUUAAGUGGUCCACCUGGGGAGUACGCCGGCAACGGUGAAACUCAAAGGAAUUGACGGGGGCCCGCACAAGCGGAGGAACAUGUGGUUUAAUUCGAUGAUACGCGAGGAACCUUACCCGGGUUUGAACGCAUUCGGACCGAGGUGGAAACACCUUUUCUAGCAAUAGCCGUUUGCGAGGUGCUGCAUGGUUGUCGUCAGCUCGUGCCGUGAGGUGUCGGCUUAAGUGCCAUAACGAGCGCAACCCUUGCCACUAGUUACUAACAGGUAAAGCUGAGGACUCUGGUGGGACUGCCAGCGUAAGCUGCGAGGAAGGCGGGGAUGACGUCAAAUCAGCACGGCCCUUACAUCCGGGGCGACACACGUGUUACAAUGGCGUGGACAAAGGGAGGCCACCUGGCGACAGGGAGCGAAUCCCCAAACCACGUCUCAGUUCGGAUCGGAGUCUGCAACCCGACUCCGUGAAGCUGGAUUCGCUAGUAAUCGCGCAUCAGCCAUGGCGCGGUGAAUACGUUCCCGGGCCUUGCACA